GACGAACGCUGGCGGCGCGCCUAACACAUGCAAGUCGAACGAGCGAGAGAGAGCUUGCUUUCUUGAGCGAGUGGCGAACGGGUGAGUAACGCGCGAGGAACCUGCCUCAAAGAGGGGGACAACAGUUGGAAACGACUGCUAAUACCGCAUAAGCCCACGGUGCCGCAUGGCACAGAGGGAAAAGGAGCAAUCCGCUUUGAGAUGGCCUCGCGUCCGAUUAGCUAGUUGGUGAGGUAACGGCCCACCAAGGCGACGAUCGGUAGCCGGACUGAGAGGUUGAACGGCCACAUUGGGACUGAGACACGGCCCAGACUCCUACGGGAGGCAGCAGUGGGGAAUAUUGCACAAUGGGGGAAACCCUGAUGCAGCGACGCCGCGUGGAGGAAGAAGGUCUUCGGAUUGUAAACUCCUGUUGUUGGGGAAGAUAAUGACGGUACCCAACAAGGAAGUGACGGCUAACUACGUG
rnacentral:rRNA from 1 species